GACUGGUUGCUUCCGAUCGCUCUAGAGUGCUCUGGAGCCACGUUUCAUCUUCGACUGGUCGAAACAGAGCACUCUCACUGCAUUUGACUGGUUCAUUUGGAGCUCUUUCCUCCAAGUCGGAGCGCUCUAUAGUGAUCUCACCAACGCCGUCGGAGCGGUUGCGAAAUCUGAGUGGGUUACCAUCACGUGACUGCGCCAGCUUUCCCUGAGUAGUGUUUCUGUCCCGCGAUAUGCCUGCCAUGUUGUGCAUCUUACGUCGACGUCGUUUUGCAUACGAGGAAAACACCGGAAGUCACACUAUGUUGACUGUGCAAAUGCGUUCGAAGCGUGAAGUCAACUCACCUCGAGAACACAACCAACGAAACAAAACACAGAAAGAAGACCGCGAAUCGACGGUCUGCUGUUGCACAUCUGUCACUGCCAUACUUUUGACAGGAAGACCAGAAGGUAACGGCGAUGAUAAAAUGGAGUGCGUGGAUUUCGGCCUGUUUUCGCUUCCGGUGUUUGAAGGAGGAAAGCGGGGAGAAAACAACACAGGGUUGCUGCUGCUCCACGUUCCAUGUGCCCGCAAUUGUCCUGCGUGUGUGAUAAAACCAACGACGUUCCAUGACUUGAAAAUUCGA